rnacentral:rRNA from 1 species
ACGAGUUGCUCCUCACUGGCGAGGUUAAGUUCUUAUUUAACGGAGCCGAAGCGAAAGCGAGUCCAAAUAGGGCGAAUAGUCAGUGGGGGCAGACGCGAAACUUUGUGAUCUAUCCAUGGGCAGGUUGAAGGUGUGGUAACACACACUGGAGGACCGAACCCGUUGACGUUGAAAAGUCUUGGGAUGACCUGUGGAUAGGGGUGAAAGGCCAAUCAAACUGAGAGAUAGCUCGUUCUCCCCGAAAUGUUUUUAGGAACAGCGUUGCAUUAUGAAGUUUAUUAGAGGUAGAGCUACUGAUUGGGCUAGGGGGCUUCACCGCCUACCAAACCCUGACAAACUCCGAAUGCUAAUAAUAUCUGCAGCAGUGAGGCUUUGGGCGCUAAGGUCCAGGGCCGAGAGGGAAUAACCCAGAUUAGCAACUAAGGUCCCUAAUACGUAGUUAAGUUGAUCAAACGAGGUGGGAUUUCUAUAACAGCCAGGAUGUUGGCUUGGAAGCAGCCAUUCAUUUAAAGAGUGCGUAACAGCUCACUGGUCGAG